GACAUAUGGGUCAUUUUUAGAAUGAGCUGACUUGAUCUGUUGAUUCAAGUAGUCCCAAAACCUAGAUAGUGCAUUAAUCAUUUAUAUUAUGUUGUAAAUUUGACCCAAAAUGAUAGAUACAUCCAAUAUAAAACUUUUAGAGAUGCCAUCCUGCCAAGUCCAAGAAAAGGAUACUCCAAAUCUUGGACAAAAAUGAUCCGAUAAUGCCGAGUCUUAGUAAGGAACACUACAACACAUCAUCAUCCUUCCAAUAAUUUCUCGUAUGAUCAAUCCCACAC
rnacentral:lncRNA from 1 species